GUCCUAGCAGUAAACGUUGGGCACUAGGUGUGGCGGACUCAUUGACGUCUGCCGUGCCGCAGCUAACGCAUUAAGUGCCCCGCCUGGGGAGUACGGUCGCAAGGCUAAAACUCAAAGGAAUUGACGGGAGCCCCGCACAAGCGGCGGAGCAUGCGGCUUAAUUCGAUGCAACCCGAAGAACCUUACCUGGGCUUGACAUCACGGGAAAUCUCACAGAGAUGUGAGGUCCGAAAGGGCCCGUGACAGGUGGUGCAUGGCUGUCGU
rnacentral:rRNA from 1 species